UCGUCUGCUAAACUAGAGUUAUCUUUUCUUUAAUUUUGAAGGACUUGAGCGUCUUUUAUUUACCUACAUAAUUUCGUAAGCGGUUUUCCCGCUUUUAUUUGGUAUAAAAUUGCAUGCUUUUCGUGAUUUGUUCAUUGCGUGAUUUCAACUGAAGGAACACAAGGAAUAGGCUGAUUCAGACAUAAGAUAAGUUCAUAUGUUUUAGUGAUAAAUAGAUAUAGUUGUUGCAGUUGAAUUUUCCGAAUGAUUUUAUUUCUGUAAUUUAUAAAGAAUAAUUCUAUUUUAUUUGAAAGUUGUUCUUGCAAAAAUUUUGAUUCUUAAUUCAAUGUAUCGCUUACUUGGAUAGCAUUUAUACUGAUUAGACUAUUAUUUAAUAGUUACAUUUGUGCACACAUAUAUUAAUCAUUGAAUAGCAUUAAAUUUAAAAUGCUUUAAUACAGGUGAUAUAUUUGUUUUGAUUGUAAUGUAUGAGCGAUAUUCUUUAAACAGGUAAUUACAUGUUUGUAGUGUAAGCCGUUUUAACAUUUACAUGCCCGCUAAUGUUUAAUUUGUUACACGUACAUCUUUUAUAAGUUUUUUGAUUUGCGGAUAAUUAAAUAAGCUUGGUAAUUUAACUUAUCGUUUAUAUCGACGUUAUAUUUGGUUUGAAGGAACAUUGCACUUGUUUUAAUUGUGUUUUGUUACCAACUUCAGUUGUUUAAUGCAUUCAAAUGUAUAUUAAUUUUAUUUAAGACAACGUAGUGGGUUAUAUGUGGUAUUUUAUUUAUCUAACUUGAAUGAGAGAAUAAGAAGUUGAAUUUAUAUUUUGAAAGAUGAAUGGGCUUUCAAGACUUGAUGUAUGUAGCUAAUCUGUUUUAAUGAUUAUAAUAGUUUAUAACAAUGCCAAGAGGUAGAGGCAGGCGUCGUCGGCAGGACACGGUUAGAGACUUCGUCUUAGAAUGGCUCCCAGGGAACAACUUCAACCACCAUUUAGGAAUGAGAAAAGGCGUCCCAAAGUUGAUCAAGAUGCCCCUGUAGUAAGACGACGGAGGGUUGAUGAACCUCAACUAGUUGCCUUGCAACCAGAUGUAGAAUUCAAGAGAUUGAACCUGAAUUAGCUGCCUUAGAUAUCGUUAAAGAAGCGUCAUGGAUUGGACAGAAUAUGAUCUGAAUGUAUUGAUUUACUGAAUGGCUGAAUUUAUUACAGUUGGCGUCUGGUAGCCCAGUUGCCAUUUGGAGAAAACAUAUGAUGGUUGCCCUUCUAUGUUUUUAUCUUGGACAUUAAUGAUACAUUGUCGAUGAAUGCAAAUUCAUAGGCCGGUUGAUAUAUAGUUGAACUGUCCUAAUAAAUCCAUGACAAAAAAUUGCCAAAAUUCAAACUUA